AUGGCUAUAUCACAUUGAAACGCUGGUUCUUGUAUGAUCACCAAAGUUAAGCAAUGUCAAGCCUGGUCAGUACCUAGAUGGGUGACUUCUUGGGAAUAACAAAUGCUGUA